AGCUCAGGUGGUAAUGCGUGCAAUGGAGGGACCUGGAGGGCAUUAUGCUAAGUGAAAUAAGCUUCUGAAUCCUGUUUGAGUCACCCCUUCCUUGCACAAAUGCUGAGUUUCUAACAGUUCAUAGAUCUCCAGUGCUUUCCUUCACACUGGCUCUCAUUUGUGGAGCACGUCUUUGUUAUACCCAUCUUCAUAUUCUUACAGUAAUAUUCUUACAUACUUUGAUAAACCCAACUUUUUGAAAGUCACCCCUGUCAUAUUGAGCAGCUUCUGUUUUAGGAGCAUGGUUCCACCCAUAGGACAUCCAUAGCCAUUCAGCACUGUCCUGGGUUAGAGAGAAAAUGCUGGUACUGUGCUCCACGAUGACUUAUUUGGAAGGUUGAUUACUUAUUUAGGGCUUCAUAGGAGGAUUAUCAAUGAAUCAGUAUCAUCCUGGAAGAGCAUAUUGACAUAAACUUUCCCAGAAAGGAAGUAUAGAUUUAAUGCAACAGUCUUUGAGAGACAUCUUAUUAUUCCCUUCUUACAAGAAAGUAGGAUUUAAGGAUCUCUAUGAAUUCUCAAGGCAGCACAGAAAGCAGUGAAGCCAGAAUACAAGACGUAGGUUUUCUGACUUUAAGAGGAUGCUGUUUCCACAAUACCAUACAUGGUGAGUUUUCAUCCUCCGCAUAUCCACCCCUUUUCCUCUCUUUUCCUGUCUAGGACUCUAUCUCUUGAUUCCUUACCUCAAACAUUUAUGCCUGGAAUCCUUAUCGGGCUGUGACAGGCAGUCUU
rnacentral:lncRNA from 10 species